GAAGACCAGAACUGAGCAGCUGGCAAGGAAGGAGGGUAAUGGGGACCCACGGUGCCAGCAGCAGGCUCCAGUGCACAGUGACUAAGGUGCUGCUGACUGUAUCACUGAUGACUGUAUUGCCCUGUGUAACCUGCUGCACCAGGCCAGUGGUUUUCUACAGAACUGCAAAAGGAGCACCAUUAUCUGAUAUGAGGAUGGAUAACCCUUUAUAAGACCAAGAAGUUGCCUGCAGGCCAUCUGUAAAAGACAACAUUGAUAUCCAGCCCUCCAAGGGUUAUGUCUGUUGGAAUGUUAACACUAUGGGCAAGCAGGGAAUUGCGACAGGGAAAAGGAAACGUUACAUUUUACUCCCAUAAAAGAAGCAUAGCAACAAUGUUUGCCAAAAGGUAACUCUUCUUCCAAAGCAGAUUAAAGAAAAGAGUCUAGUAAAGAAGAAAAAAGAACUGCAAUAGUAUUCUAUUCUAAUGCAAAAACAGCCAUAAAUAAAUAUUUAUGCUCUUCCCUUCCAUGUUUGAUAUGAUAUUUGACUAGAUGCAGUUAUUAAUUUGAUCUCUGUCAGGGAUAGAAGUUCAAAAGAGGAUGUUGUGAGAAUAUUAGGAUUUUAUGAGGGCUCAUUAUUGGGUGGAAAUGACAUUUUCUAUGUGAAAAGAUCUUGUGUUAAAUUGGAAAACAAAAACAUCAAACGUUACUGAACAAAUGAAAGGGAACUGUAUAAAGCACGAGGAUAAAGAAAGAGAAUAUAAAUUAUGUGUACAUUUUUAUUUAUUACUCCUUGUAGGUACAUUUUUAAAAGGCUAAAUAAGAUUGUCGGAUUUUAAAACUUACUUUUUAAACUGUUUAAUUAUCAUUAUAUUCUCCAUUUU